rnacentral:rRNA from 1 species
CCAGACUCCUACGGGAGGCAGCAGUGGGGAAUAUUGGGCAAUGGGCGCAAGCCUGACCCAGCAACGCCGCGUGAAGGAAGAAGGCUUUCGGGUUGUAAACUUCUUUUCUCAGGGACGAAGAAAGUGACGGUACCUGAGGAAUAAGCCACGGCUAACUACGUGCCAGCAGCCGCGGUAAUACGUAGGUGGCAAGCGUUAUCCGGAUUUAUUGGGUGUAAAGGGCGUGUAGGCGGGAGCGCAAGUCAGAUGUGAAAUCCGGGGGCUCAACCCCCGAACUGCAUUUGAAACUGUUGGUCUUGAGUAUCGGAGAGGCAGGCGGAAUUCCUAGUGUAGCGGUGAAAUGCGUAGAUAUUAGGAGGAACACCAGUGGCGAAGGCGGCCUGCUGGACGACAACUGACGGUGAGGCGCGAAAGCGUGGGGAGCAAACAGGAUUAGAUACCCGGGUAGU